UACGUAGGGGCUAGCGUUGUCCGGAAUCAUUGGCGUAAAGCGCGCGUAGGCGGCCAGAUAAGUCCGGUGUGAAAGUCAAAGGCUCAACCUUUGAAUGCCCGCUGGAAACUGUCUGGCUUGAGUCCGGAAGGGCGAGUGGAAUUCCUGGUGUGAGCGGUGAAAUGCGCAGAUAUCAGGAGGAACACCAAUGGCGAAGGCAGCUCGCUGGAACGGUACUGACGCCUGAGGCGACGGAAAGCGUGGGGAGCGAACAGG
rnacentral:rRNA from 1 species